rnacentral:rRNA from 1 species
AGAGUUUGAUCCUGGCUCAGGAUGAACGCUGGCGGUAUGCCUUACACAUGCAAGUCGAACGGGAAUUAGCCUCGGUUAAUUCUAGUGGCGGACGGGUGAGUAACACGUGAGAAUUCGCCUUUAGGAGGGGGAUAACGAGUGGAAACAUUCGCUAAAACCCCAUAUGCCCACGGGUGAAAAAGAGAUCAUCUCUGCCUGAA